rnacentral:rRNA from 1 species
GGAAGACAGAAUGAGCACACGAUGGAUGCCCUGGCGCUGCGUGCCGAUGAAGGACGGGGCACCGCUCCGAUAAGCUCUGGGGAGCCGCUUGCAGGCGUCGAUCCAGAGGUCUCCGAAUGAGGCAACUCACCCUUUUCAAGGGUACCGGGCUCGUCCCGGAGGGCACCCGGCCAACUGAAACAUCUCAGUAGCCGGAGGAAGAGAGAACCACACCCGUAGUAGUGGCGAACGAACCGGGUCCUCGCCUAAACCACGCCCGUGCCAAGGCGCCAGCCGUUGCGGCCGUGGGGUUGUAGGACAGUAGAUCCGAGGCUCUGGCGGGCCUCACAGCGCCCUCAAGCGGUAGGAGAAGCGGUCUGGAACGCCGCACCAUAGCAGGUGAUAGUCCUGUAUCCGCCGCCCACCGACGCUGCUGCUGCUCCUGAGUAGGGCCAGGCACGAAGAACCUGGUCCGAAGCUGGGCUGACCACAGUCCAAGGCAAGCUACACGCAGCGACCGAUAGCGCACAGUACCGUGAGGGAACGGUGAAAAGCACCCCGGCGAGGGGAGUGAAAGAGACCCUGAAAUCGUGUGUUUCCACGCCGUUGAAGAGGUAGGAGGCCUUGUGUCUCACCUCGACAGCGUGCCUUUUGGAGUAUGAUCCGGCGAGUUCACCCGCGUGGCUUGGUUAAGGCAGGCACAGCCGGAGCCAGAGUGAAAGCGAGCCUGAAUAGGGCGCCGUCGCGCAGGUGAGACGCGAAACCACGUGAGCUACCCAUGGGCAGGCUGAAGCGUCCCUAACAGGACGUGGAGGGCCGCACCGGUGUGGGUUACAAACCGCUCGGAUGACCUGUGGGUCGAGGUGAAAUGCCAAUCGAACGUGGAGAUAGCUCGUUCUCCCCGAAAUGCAUUGAGGUGCAGCCGCGUUUUGGCGCUGCUGGAGGUAGAGCACUGUUGUUGUGCGGGGGCUUCACCGCUUACCAAGCGACGGCAAACUCCGAAUGCCAGCUAGCGCGCAGCGCGAGUGAGACGGCGGGUGCGAACAUCCGUCGUCGAGAGGGAAACAACCCAGACCUGCCGCUAAGGCCCCCAAGUUGAACCUCAGUGGAAAAGGUUGUAGUGCCGCGCAGACAACCAGGAGGUUGGCUUAGAAGCAGCCAUCCUUUAAAGAGUGCGUAACAGCUCACUGGUCGAGUAGCGCCGCGCCGAAGCUUCAACGGGGCAAAGGUUCACGCCGAUGCGCAGGACGAGUGGCAACACUCGUGGUAGGGGAGCGUCGCUGGUGGGACGAAGUCACAGCGUAAGCCGUGGUGGACUGCCAGCGAGUGCGAAUGCCGGAAUGAGUAACAGAGAAGUGGGGUGAGAACCCCCACCGCCGAAAGCCUAAGGGUUCCGCCGCACGGGUGCUCCGCGGCGGGUUAGUCGGGCCUAAGCCGACGCUGACAAGCAUAGGCGAUGGACAACGGGUGCACAUUCCCGUACCACCGUCUGCUCGUUUGACCGAUGCCGGACGCUGAGGGGUAGACGCCGCGGCGAGAUGAGCGCCGUCCAAGCCGGUAGGGAGCCAGGGGACUAAAUCACCCUGGCGAUGACCGAGAGGUGAUGGGGAGGUGAAGGAGCAAUCCUUCGCCAACGGGGUUGCGCCUGUGCAGCCGAGAAAUGCCGGCUAGGGAGAGCAGCGGUGCCCGUACCGCAAACCGACACAGGUAGGCAGGUCGAGCAGACCAAGGCGGACGAGUGAGCCCUGGUUAAGGAACUCGGCAAAUUGACCCCGUACCUUCGGAAGAAGGGGUGCCGCGUACGCGUGAAGCCGCUUGCCGGUGGAGCGCGGGGCGGCCGCAGGGCCAGGCCCGGGCGACUGGAUACCAGAACCACAGCUCCCUGCUCAAGCCGCAAGGCGACGUAUAGGGGGUGAUGCCUGCCCAGUGCCGGAAGGUUAAGGGGAGGAGUUUACGCUCCGAACCGAAGCCCCGGUAAACGGCGGCUGUAACUAUAACAGUCCUAAGGUAGCGAAAUUCCUUGUCGGGUAAGUUCCGACCCGCACGAAAGGCAUCACGAUCUGGGCACUGUCUCAACCAGGGGCUCGGUGAAAUUGCAGUGGCCGUGAAGAUGCGGCCAACGCGUAGCAGGACAAAAAGACCCCGUGGAGCUUUACUCUAGCUUGCCAUCGGGUGACUCGGUACGAUGCGUAGCAUAGGUGGGAGCCGGUGAAACCGCCCUCGCGGGGGUGGUGGAGGCGACAGUGAAAUACCACUCUUCGUGCCGCGUUACCCUCACCCGGUUAGCAAACUGGGGACGGUGGCUGGUGGGGAGUUUGACUGGGGCGGUCGCCUCCUAAAUGGUAACGGAGGCGCGCAAUGGUUCCCUCAGGUGGGAUGGCAAUCCACUGGCGCGUGCAACGGCACAAGGGAGCCUGACUGCAAGACAGACAGGUCGCGCAGGGACGAAAGUCGGCCGUAGUGAUCCCACAGUACCGAGUGGAAGGGCUGUGGCUUAACGGACAAAAAGCUACCCCGGGGAUAACAGGCUCAGACCGCCCAAGAGUUCAUAUCGACGGCGGAGCGUGGCACCUCGAUGUCGGCUCGUCG